rnacentral:lncRNA from 1 species
GGCUGCUGCUGCCCGGGCCGACGCGCGCCCUGGACGUCCCUGCUCCAGCUUGGGCUCGGCGAGGACGUUGCAGGUAGCCGGGACAUCUUUCUCAUCCUCUUGGAACAAGUAGGGACACAGAUGUCUCAUUCAGGUUCUUGAUUGAAUGGAAAAUGGAAAUCUAAGGCCUUUUUAUAAUGGAAGCGCUGUUGAAUGAGAAACCCACGCGUACGGAGUUCAGAUGGCAGGCUUCCUGGAUAACUUCCGAUGGCCGGAGUGCGAGUGUAUUGACUGGAGUGAGCGCAGGAACACGGUAGCCUCCGUGGUUGCAGGAAUCUUGUUCUUUACAGGCUGGUGGAUAAUGAUCGAUGCGGCCG